rnacentral:rRNA from 1 species
GUUGACCUCGGAUCAGGUAGGGAUACCCGCUGAAGUAA